GACGAACGCUGGCGGCGUGCUUAACACAUGCCAGUCGAACGGAAAGGCCCUGCUUUUGUGGGGUGCUCGAGUGGCGAACGGGUGAGUAACACGUGAGUAACCUGCCCUUGACUUUGGGAUAACUUCAGGAAACUGGGGCUCAAAUCGGAUAGGAGCUCCUGCUGCAUGGUGGGGGUUGGAAAAUUUCGGCGGUUGGGGAUGGACUCGCGGCUUAUCAGCUUGUUGGUGGGGUAGUGGCUUACCAAGGCUUUGACGGGUAGCCGGCCUGAGAGGGUUGCCGGCCACAUUGGGACUGAGAGACGGCCCAGACUCCUACGGGAGGCAGCAGUGGGGAAUAUGGCACAAUGGGCGGAAGCCUGAUGCAGCAACGCCGCGUGCGGGAUGACGGGCUUCGGGUUGUAAACCGCUUUCGCCUGUGACGAAGCGUGAGUGACGGUAAUGGGUAAGGAAGCACCGGCUAACUACGUG
rnacentral:rRNA from 1 species